GCCAUCUAGAGGACAAGCGCAGUACAGCAGGGAGUGACACAUCAUGCCUCCCCUCAUCCUCCCGGGCAGCCAGUCCGGACUGCAUGGGAUCCCUCCGGAGCACGGUGACCUUGGUACCUCCCCCAGUCUCUCUGCAAUACUUUUUCUUUUUUACCCCACUUAGCUGAACCACCAGGGGUUCUCACUAGAAGCUGGGCAGAUGGCUGUGACAUUCUCUUGACCUUUUUCCUGUCUCCAAAUUUUUGAGCUAAAAGACUUCUUUUCUGCAUCAAGUGUACCACUUCAGACAUUCUGUUAUAGAAAUAGUAAGUCUUUAGAUCUCAUCUGUUUUUAGGUCUAGAUUGGAAUACGAGAAGACCAAGUAGCAAUAAAAUUAUGCAUAUUUGAACUUAUA